rnacentral:rRNA from 1 species
UACAGAGGUCUCAAGCGUUGUUCGGAUUCAUUGGGCGUAAAGGGUCUGUAGGUGGCUUGCUAAGUCAGACGUGAAAUCCCUCAGCUUAACUGGGGAACUGCGUCUGAGACUGGCGAGCUUGAGGGCAGGAGAGGAACGCGGAAUUCCAGGUGUAGCGGUGAAAUGCGUAGAUAUCUGGAGGAACACCGGUGGCGAAGGCGGCGUUCUGGACUGCAUCUGACACUGAAAGACGAAAGCCAGGGGAGCAAACGGG